rnacentral:rRNA from 1 species
GACCGAGGGUGCAAACGUUGCUCGGAAUUACUGGGCGUAAAGCGCGUGUAGGCGGACCGGCAAGUCGGGCGUGAAAGCCCUAGGCUCAACCUAGGAACUGCACUCGAAACUUCCGGCCUUGAGUGGUGGAGAGGGAAGUGGAAUUCCUGGUGUAGAGGUGAAAUUCGUAGAUAUCAGGAGGAACACCAGUGGCGAAGGCGGCUUCCUGGACACCAACUGACGCUGAGACGCGAAAGCGUGGGGAGCAAACAGG